AUUAUAAUAUAUUAUAGUAUAUUAUAAUAAUAUUUUAUAUUAAUAUAAUAUAAUAUAUAUUUUUAUAUAUAAUAAUAUAGUAUAAUAUACUAUAAAAUAUUAAUAUCUAAUAUAUUAUAUUAUUAUAUAUUAUUAUAUUAUUAUAAGGUUAAGAGUAUAUUAGGAAUGAAUUAAAAAGGUUAUCUUUUUUAUUGACGGAAAAAUAAUUUAACCACCCCAU
rnacentral:lncRNA from 1 species